GCCAACGACCAUACCACGUAGGAACUACCGGUUCUCGUUCGAUCACCAAAGUCAAGCUACGUCGGGCACGGUUAGUACUUGGAUGGGUGACCGCUUGGGAACACCGUGUGUUGUUGGUU
rnacentral:rRNA from 1 species